GUCAGACGAUGCGUCAUGCAUAUCAAUAAGCGGAGGAAAAGAAACUAACAAGGAUUCCCCUAGUAACGGCGAGUGAAGCGGGAAGAGCUCAAAUUUGAAAUCUUAAAGGGUUUCCCUUUACGAAUUGUAGUUUAAAGAAGUGUUUUCUGUUGAGGUUUUCGGUAAAAGUUCUUUGGAAUAGGACAUCAUAGAGGGUGAGAAUCCCGUAUUUGACCUUUACUUUCAACUUUGUGAUACACUUUCAAAGAGUCGGAUUGUUUGGGAAUGCAGUCCAAAAUGGGUGGUAAAUUUCAUCUAAAGCUAAAUAUUGGCGAGAGACCGAUAGCGAACAAGUACCGUGAGGGAAAGAUGAAAAGAACUUUGAAAAGAGAGUUAAACAGUACGUGAAAUUGUCAAAAGGGAAGCGUUUGACACCAGUGUUGUUUUUCUGAAAAUCAAUUAAAGAACUGUUUAUGCUAAGUUGUUUAGACUUUAUCAGCUAACUGUUUAGUUUUGAGCUUUUCUUUAAUGCACUUUUCAGUUAACAAGUCAACAUCAAUUUCUUUUGCUGUAAAAAAGCUUGAGGAAGGUGGCUUGAGAUUCGUCUUAAGUGUUUAUAGCCUCUUGCCUAUGCAGUCGGAGAGAUUGAGGUCUGCAGCGUAGAUCCUUCGGGGCUAAAUGCAUUUGUGCUAAAGUUAUAGCAUUUUAUAGACAACUUGUUGACUAUGAUUUGUCUUGUAGCUUACUCGCUUAUGUUAUUUUACCUACGCUUAGGAUGUUGAGCGCAUGUCUCUCUCU
rnacentral:rRNA from 1 species